rnacentral:rRNA from 1 species
UACGUAGGGUGCGAGCGUUAAUCGGAAUUACUGGGCGUAAAGCGUGCGCAGGCGGUUUGUUGUGUCUGAUGUGAAAGCCCCGGGCUCAACUUGGGAAUGGCAUUGGAAACUGGCAAGCUGGAGUGUGGCAGAGGGGGGUGGAAUUCCGCGUGUAGCAGUGAAAUACGUAGAGAUGCGGAGGAACACCGAUGGCGAAGGCAGCCCCCUGGGCCAACACUGACGCUCAGGCACGAAAGCGUGGGGAGCAAACAGG